ACGGGUGUAGCUCAAUUGGUAGAGUGGCGGUCUCCAAAACCGUAGGUUGUGGGUUCGAUUCCUACCACCCGUG
rnacentral:tRNA from 2 species